rnacentral:rRNA from 1 species
UAAAGCCCUUUCAGUGGGAAAGAUGAUGACGGUACCCACAGAAGAAGCCCCGGCUAACUCCGUGCCAGCAGCCGCGGUAAUACGGAGGGGGCGAGCGUUGUUCGGAAUUAUUGGGCGUAAAGAGCGCGUAGGCGGCUUUUUAAGUCAGAAGUGAAAUCCUCGGGCUUAACCCGGGAACUGCUUUUGAAACUGGAAGGCUUGAGUCCGGCAGAGGGUGGUGGAAUUCCCCGUGUAGAGGUGAAAUUCGUAGAUAUGGGGAGGAAGACC